rnacentral:rRNA from 1 species
UACAGAGGUGGCAAGCGUUGUUCGGAAUUACUGGGCGUAAAGGGCGAGUAGGUGGCCAUCUAAGUCAGACGUGAAAUCCCCCGGCUUAACCUGGGAACUGCGUCUGAUACUGGACGGCUUGAGUAUGGGAGAGGAACGUAGAAUUCCAGGUGUAGCGGUGAAAUGCGUAGAUAUCGGGAGGAACACCGGUGGCGAAGGCGGUUCUCUGGGCCUGUACUGACGCUGAGGAGCGAAAGCGUGGGGAGCGAACAGG